ACUGUCAUCCGCAACAGAGUCAAACAAAAACAAGUUUGCAUGACUGACCUUUAAAUCUUCGUCAUUCGGCUUCCAAUAAUGUGAAGCCUGGCUUUUUGUUUUAAACUAUCCAUACAACUAUCCCUCGGUUAUAUCUCAGAUUUUCUAUUAACUGUUAACUUCUUAUCUAUUAACUAUUUUUUUUGGCAUUGUAAAAUCAAUAUGCUCAAAACUUUAUGGCUACUUUAAUAAACUUUCAAUUCACUAACUUCAUUAACUCCCAAUUUAAAGCAACAGAGAGAAGAUAUUGGUGAAUUGUUUUGUGUAUAUUAUGUCUCUUUUAUUAUUGCAGGUUAUUAAGCGAACAAGUUGUCAAGUCAAUCAGUUCCGAAGAGGCUUAAAAGAAACAGGACUGUGGCCACUACUCAUUCACAGAGGAGAUGUGAUCCCAAUCCUGUUUCCCAGGGAGUCAGAGGCACAAAUCACACCUCAGAUGAUCUUUGAUUGCAUCAUAUGGCCAUCAUCUGUAACCGUCAUCUUCGAGAGCUACAAAGUCAAAGACGAUGCCGAGUGUGAUGUCACGGAUGUAUCCAGAGUAUCUGGCUACUUGAAAACAUUUAUUGAAAAUGCAUCUCCAGCUGAGCUAAAGAGCCUCAUAAAGUUCUGGACAGGAUGGGAGGUGCCAGCCACAGAGAUGAAGGUGGAAAUAGUUGAGGCAAUGCUUCCCACAGCUUUAACAUGUUUUGAGAAGCUGAGGUUGCCGAGGCAUUACGCAGCAUACAAAACAUUCCAUCAGG